rnacentral:rRNA from 1 species
AUUGAACGCUGGCGGCAGGCCUAACACAUGCAAGUCGAGCGAGCGGCGGACGGGUGAGUAAUGUCUGGGGAACUGCCUGAUGGCGGGGGAUAACUACUGGAAACGGUAGCUAAUACCGCAUACCAUCAGAUGUGCCCAGAUGGGAUUAGGUAGUAGGUGGGGGAACGGCGAACCUAGGAGACUAUCCAUAGAUGGUCUGAGAGGAUGACAAGCCAACCUGGAACUAGGACACGGUCCAGACCCCUAAGGGAGGAGCAAGUGGGGAAUAUUGCGCAAUGGGGUCAACCCGUACGCAGCCAUGCCGCGGGAAUGAAGAAGGCCUUCGGGUUGUAAAGUUCUUUCGGUAUUGAGGCGUUACAUGCAGAAGAAGCACCGGCUAACUCCGUGCCAGCAGCCGCGGUAAUUC